rnacentral:rRNA from 1 species
AACGAACGUUGGCGGUGUGGAUUAGGCAUGCAAGUCGCGCGCGAAAGCCUUCGGGUGAGUAAAGCGGCGAACGGGUGAGUAAUACGUAACCAACCUGCCCCUCAGAUCGGAAUAACCACUGGAAACGGUGGGUAAUGCCGGAUGGUCCCCUCGGACGGCAUCGUCCUUUGGGUAAACGGCGGCUCUGCCGCUGCUGAGGGAGGGGGUUGCGGCCUAUCAGCUUGUUGGUUGGGUAACGGCCUACCAAGGCGANGACGGGUAGCCGGUCUGAGAGGACGAUCGGCCACACUGGGACUGAGACACUGCCCAGACUCCUACGGGAGGCUGCAGUCGAGAAUCUUCCGCAAUGGGCGAAAGCCUGACGGAGCGACACCGCGUGCAGGAUGAAGGCCUU